GGGAAAGAGAUAUAUUUCGGAACAUUAGGAAUAGGAAAAGGAAGAAACACAGUAGCUAGAGACAGGCUCGUAUUUGGCUAUGUGAAAAACAUAAUUCAUUACUAGAAAAAAGAGGACAAAAAAUAAUUGUACAACUACAAUUAGGUCAAACACUCAAGAGUAUCCAAAAGGAGAAAAUAUACUCCUUAAGUAUAUAAUCUUUCGAAAAAGGUAAAAGGAAAAAUGAAAACGAAGUGCACCUAAAAUCCAACUAAGCCCCCCAAAAUUAACCACUCAUGAUGAUACUUAAUGGGCAGCCACUAUAAGUUUCAAUGCUUUCAAUUGUCUCGCUUUGGCCUCCUACGUGGAGCAUUGGCUGUUUCUUCCUUCUCUUUGUUGUCUUCAUUCUCUCCACCAGCUUGGGAAGUUUCUGUGCGUUCUGUGUUGGUCUUCUUCUCUACCUUCGCCUCCACCUUAGCCUGCAGAAGAACAGACUUGGUUAUGAGCAUGAAUGUGAAUGAAAAAUACCCCCAUGAAAUUAAUAUGAAUGAGCAUGAAAUAAGUUUUACUACUUACAGGUUUCUUCCCGCCGAAUAUGAGCCUAAAGAAAAUUGUUACGAAAACAACCACAACGGAUGCAAG
rnacentral:lncRNA from 1 species